rnacentral:tRNA from 1 species
UGUAGGUAUGGUGUAAUGGCUAACAUAAUAGUCUCCAAAACUAUUGAUGUAGGUUCGAUUCCUACUACCUAUGCCAA